rnacentral:rRNA from 1 species
AUUGAACGCUGGCGGCAGGCCUAACACAUGCAAGUCGAGCGGAGCGCCUGACGGGUGCGUAAUGCCUAGGAAUCGGCCUGUUAGUGGGGGAGAACGACCGGAAACGGGCGCUAAUCCCGCAUCCUAUCACAUUAGCCUAGGUCGGAUUAGCUAGUGGGUGGGGUAAAGGCCUACCAAGGCGACGAUCCGUAACUGGUCUGAGAGGAUGAUCAGUCACACUGGAACUGAGACACGGUCCAGACUCCUACGGGAGGCAGCAGUGGGGAAUAUUGGACAAUGGGCGAAAGCCUGAUCCAGCCAUGCCGCGUGUGUGAAGAAGGUCUUCGGAUUGUAAAGCACUUUAAGUUGGGAGGCGUUACCAACAGAAUAAGCACCGGCUAACUUCGUGCCAGCAGCCGCGGUAAUUC